CAGUAGCCGCGGUAAUACGUAGGUGGCAAGCGAUGUCCGGAAUUAUUGGGCGUAAAGGGCUCGCAGGCGGUUUCUUAAGUCUGAUGUGAAAGCCCCCGGCUCAACCGGGGAGGGUCAUUGGAAACUGGGAAACUUGAGUGCAGAAGAGGAGAGUGGAAUUCCACGUGUAGCGGUGAAAUGCGUAGAGAUGUGGAGGAACACCAGUGGCGAAGGCGACUCUCUGGUCUGUAACUGACGCUGAGGAGCGAAAGCGUGGGGAGCGAACAGGAUUAGAUACCCCUGUAGUCCCUGUCUCUUAUAC
rnacentral:rRNA from 1 species